ACUUUAGUUUCGACUGAUAAUCGAUCAGAAUCGGUUAAACCUCUCUCGAGAGUUUUCUGCGAUAUUUGACGAGAUGAAAUUCUUCUGCGUCCUAUUGGCUAUCGUCCUAAUGGUUGCCCUCGUCAGCGCCGGCGGUUACGGCCACGGUCACGGUGGAUUUGGCGGUCACGGUCACGGAGGAUACGGCCACAGCAAGGGGCACAAGAUAGACGGCAGCUACGGCGGAGGAUAUUCAGACAACCACUUCCACCUUAGCGGAGGAUACGGGCACGGAGGAUACCAUUAACCAAGGGCGUUUUUCUGGCGAUGGAGCAGCUCAAUAAGGAACUGAGAUUGAAGGAUAAUCUGAGGUAUCAUCUAGUCUCUGGAAUGACUCUCUGGACUAUACGCAAAGGAUAUCCAGUGUCUUCAUUGCAGGCAGUGUCACCAAGGCUCCAGAAGGAUGUCAGGAGCAUCCUCCCUCAAAUGGCAUUAUUCUGAAACUUUACGGCUUUACAAAAACACUUCAAGCAACUAACUUCUACUCUCUAUUAUUUCUUUCAUUCUUACUAAAAAUGUACAUCUUCAAGUACAAUUCGACUUCUGAAUGAACAUACAUUUGUUAUAUGUGUGGAACAUAGUCAUGUUCAUUUCUGUGUUUUUGUACACGGUUGCUUACUAUAUAAUAAUUCUUAUUUUAUUUUGAUGUCAUUCUCAUAUACCCGUGAUCAUCUCUUGCAUAUCUUCAAUGUCGUCUACGAAAAAAAAUAGCAAUAAACAAAAAUGAAAA